CCUUGCAAAGACGGGCCCAGGGAGCGCUGGGACGGGGAGGAGCACCUCGCUUUCCUCUCCUGUCUGUGCCCAGCCGUAUUUCUGCGAGGCUGAUGGUGCCAGGUCUCCUGCCGGGACGGGGGGCAGCAGUUCCAGGGAAUGGGGGUUCAGGGAUCCGCUCGUGUCCGGCUCAGAGGCAGCCCAGCCCCAUCCUGCGGCUGCACGGACACCAAACCUCUCCGCUAGGCUGGAACUGGGAGCUUUUCAUCUGGUGUGAAGGUUACAGGCCUGGUCCAGCGCCUUUGCGGUUCCUCGCGGGAGCUGGAGGGCAGUAACACGUUGUUUCUGGGACGGAUCUUCCCGGCUGCGUGCGUACGGAUGGCUCCUGAAGCUGCCCGCUCCUAACAGCUGCGUAUGUGCUGGUGCCGAUCCAUCUGUGUUUCAGGCCGUGUGCCACCUGGGCUACAGCGGGAGGGAAGCCCAGCUAGAAAACAAGUUUGCAGAGCAACUCGUUUCUACUGAUGAUCUUGGGAGCUUCCCGGACUGGAUAUGUGUCUUUUUUGCUCAGCCAACGCUGCGGUGCGGUGUGAGAAGAGCAUCAGCGUUCAUGUGAACAACAAGGCCACGAGAGUUCAAGGGAAAUGGGGACACAAC